UUUGGUGGUUUGACUCUAUAGUAUCAAGUUUUGGCUUGAACCUUGGCAACCUUAGCUGAUACAGCCCAUCCUUAAGCAUUCCUUGCAGUAGAGUCCUCUUCGUUUGCAGAUCCUUAACAAUACAACAAUCAGGAAAAAAUUCCAUAAAUACAUUGUUAUCACUUGUAAGUUGAGAAACACUAACUAAAUUCUUUUUAAUUGAAGGCACAUGCAAUACUUUGUUUAGUGUAAGAGACUUAUCAUCAACUGUGGGAACAUUUCCUUUUCCAAUAUGUGCAAUGUGUAAUGACUUCCCAUCACCAACUAUCAAUUUUUCCUUACCUUCAUAUUUCUUGACUGUAUACAGAUUACCUUUGUCGGAUGUUACAUGAUUGCUUGCACCGGAAUCUGCAAACCAGGCUGGAUCUUCAACAGUUCUUGGUGAAGCCACAUAUGCAGAAGGAGCUGGGCUGUUGUUCUGAUGGUUUUGAUUACUUGGUCUGCUGCCCAUGUAUCUGUCAUCGUACCUGUUAAAACACCAGCUGGCUGAGUGGUUGUUGAGUCCACAGAUUUGGCAAGGGCCUUUAAUUUCAUUUUGCCUGCCUACUCUACCUCUACCUCUCGUUCUCCCUCUGAAAUUUAAGGAUCUACCUCUGUUGGUACCUCUAAAAAUUCUGCCACCACCUGAGCUAGCUCUUUGGGCCAGUUGAACACUUGAUUGACCAACAUUCAGUGAUGCAAAGUUGUCCCUGACUUGACUCAAAUACUCAAGCCUACUUUCAAAUGUCAUCAGCACAGAAGACAGCUCAUGCCAGGAUAUAUUAUCCCUGCUGUUAACUUGUACCACUAUAGGUGUGUAUUCUUCAUCCAACCCUGAUAAAACCUGAGUUACAAGAUCACUGUGGUCAAUAGCUUUCCCAGCUAUUUCCAGAUUAUCAGCCAGUUGUUUGACGGUGGUGAGGUAUUGAUCCAUAGACAUAGUGCCUUUCCUCAUCCUUUGUAGUUCUCCAGUGAGAAACACGACCCUUGACUUGUUCAGUACACCAUAGCUUUCCUCCACUGCAGUCCAUAACUUGCUUGAACUGUUGCAUCCCAUGACUCUCAUUGCUAUUUCUGGGGUCAUGGAUGAGUAUAACCACCCAAUCAACAGUUGAUCAGUUGAGAUCCACCUAUUAUACUCAGGAUUCUGAGUCAUUUCUACAGCUUCUCCUUGACCAGUAGUGGUUUGAGUGGCUAGGAAUUCUGGUGGACACUGCUUUGUCCCCAGCAAAUAUCCCUCUAGGUUAUGCCCUUUGAUUAUUGGCAUAAUCAUAUUUUUCCAUAGCAAGUAGUUGUUCCUGUCGAGUUUUACUUAUGGAGUCUGAGUAAGGUUCAUUCCAAAUGGUGAACUCUGAUUUGCAGCAACUUGGGUGAAUGAUGCUGUGCUUGAAUCAAUUGGAGCUGGAUGACUUCCUGAACCGGUGUUAGCCAUAUUGGCUCUGAUACCAAGUAAAGAAUUGAACUGAUAUUUUUGUAUUUGAAUAUUUUACUUUUCUUUACAUCCAACAUAUAUAUACAGAGAUACUAUACAAGCAAUUACAUACAAAGAAUAUUCUAGACUUCUAAAACAAAUAAUUCCAGGUGGCUAACGGUUUCACAUGCAUUUCCUGAAAAUCAGGAUAUGCACCAGCACAUACACCAGCUUACACAAUGGAUACAAGAUGCUUUUUGUUGGUUGGUUGUGCUGUCAUGUUGGCUGAAAUAUUCUAACAGGUGCAAAUAAAUAAUAAAAUUAC
rnacentral:lncRNA from 1 species